rnacentral:tRNA from 1 species
GGCCGAGUGGCGGAAUAGGCAGACGCACGGGACUUAAAAUCCCGGGUCCCGAUUGGGACGUACGGGUUCAAGUCCCGUCUCGGCUA